rnacentral:lncRNA from 1 species
AAGUCACAGGUCCUACCCACAUUGAAGAGGAGGGGAAAAUAAGAGUGUAAUGCCAGAAACAGGGAUCAUGUAGUAUCACCUUAGGUUCAAUAUGUCACCAUCACUCUCCUUACGUUCUCUUAGAUUCCCAAUUUUCUUAUCAGUAUUAUCAGGGUAUGACAGAAUGAUGGUCAGACAUCUUUCAUGAGUUCAGGCAGCACCAUUUCUAAUGAGCACUAUUAUGGGAGUUUCACUUUUGUCACCCAGGCUGGGGAGCAAUGGCGCGACCUCGGCUCACUGCAACCUCUGCCUCCCAGGUUCAAGCUAUUCUCCUGCCUCAGCCUCCGGAGUAGCUGAGAUUACAGGCGCACGCCACCACGCCCAGCUAAUUUUUGUGUGUAGAGAUGGGGUUUCACCAUGUUGGCCAAAUUGGUCUCAAACUCCGGACCUCAGAUGAUGACGCCCUCUUCGGCCUCUCAAAGUGCUGGGAUUACAGGCGUGAGCCACCGCGCCGGCCUUUUUUGAAUCUUUACGCAGCGUAAGACAGCAGCAGCUUAAGUUUGAGCGCUAAUGGAAAACACAUCUAUUCUUUGCUGACCCCUAGUGUCCACAGCAAGUAAGCGUGGAAUCUAAAAAUCCCAAAGGAAAAACAUGGCAGUUUGAGAAAUGACAUUUUGUUUCAUUCAAAACAAGAAAGAAAGAAAAAAUGCGUUCCAAAAUAAAAUAAUUCACCUCCAGUAAAUUAUAUAGUUAGCACAGAAACAUACAUAAAGAAUGAAACAGAUAUUUUCAAAUUCAGCUUCUGCUUUUGAUAGAGGGUAAAUCUGAGGAAGACUUUUCAGGGCUAUGGAGCACAAUCUGAAUUGUUUUGUGGGAACCACUUCUUUCUCUCUGGCUACACUGGCCUCAAAUCUGUUCUACAAGCAUGUGAAGAUAAUCUUUGGGUUUUCAAAUCCUUCCAGCACUACCCGACCACCACUCUGGGCAGCAUCACCGCCAUCACCAGGACCAACAGCCUUGUCGACAUGACCACCCGCUGGGAGCAAGAAACAGGUGGUCUCCCCUCCAUGAGGCUGUGAGGACAAAUAAAUGUUACCUAAGCAAAGUGAAAGAGACAGAGACAGGCACAGAAUUCUUUCUUUCUUAGACCAAUCAAAAUCACACAUUUUUGCUUCCCUUAUGGUGAACUGAAGCAAUCACUCAGUAAUUGUCUGCCCUAACUACAGUUUACAAGGCUGUCUUUUUUUUUUUUUUUUUUUUUAAGACAGUGUCUCAUUCUGUAGCCCAGGUUAGAGGAAGCUGAGGUUUAAGACAGCUUAAACCUCUACCCUGGGCAACAACUAUGAUCACAGUGGUGUUAACAUAACUCACUGCAGCUUCAAAUCCCUGGGCUUGAGCUAUCCCCCUGCAUCAGCCUUCCAUGUAGCUGGGACUGCAUGCACCUGUCACCACAUCCGGCUUAUUAUUAUUAUUAUUAUUAUUUUUUUUUAGAGACACAGUCUCUAUGUUGCCCGGGCUGAUCUCAAACUCCUAGCUUCAAGCCAUCCUCCUCCCUCUGCCUCCCAAAUGCUAGGAUUACAGAUGCGAGCCACUGCACCUGGCCUAAGGCUUUCCUUUUUGAGAGAGGGAUCUUUACAAUUCAGCCAAUUAAGUUUUCUUCACCAUUUUCUCUGCUUGUGGAUAAUCUCUUUUUGCAAUUGGAAGCCCUCUGAGGGUUUACAUGGAACAUCACACCACGUGAAAUUAUCAACCACUAGGCUAUAUUUUUUCCAUGGUUUCAAAAAUAGAGAAAGAAAAUGAAGCCUAUUGUUCUUGCAUGUUUGUUUGUUUAGGGUUUUUGUUUAUUUUUUUCCCAUAAGAUAAGUAGCAUCUAUGAUUUUCAGUCUCUUUGCUUCUUUGUACUUCAUACCAUCCUCCAUUUAAUUGCCACAAUCUGAAUUCCCAUUUAUUUAUUUUUAAGAUGGAGUUUUGCUCUUGCUGCCCAGGCUGGAGUGCAAUGGUGAUAUCUGCACUCACUGCAACCUCUGCCUCCCAAGUUCAAGCGAUUCUCUUGUCUCAGCCUCCUGAGUAGUUGGGAUUACAGGCAAGCACCACCAUGCCCGGCUAAUUUUUUGUAUUUUUAAUAAAGAUGGGGUUCCACCAUGUUGGCCAGGCUGGUUUCGAACUCCUGACUUCAGGUGAUCCACCCGCCUCAGCCUCCCAAAGUGCGGCAAUUACAGGCAUAAGCCACCACACCGGGCCAUCACAAUCUGAAUUCUUAAAAUACUCUUAAUUCAAAUAUUUAUUCUCUUCAUUGGAUGCCGAGUUCAGUCAGCUCAUAGAUGUUUUUCCAAAAGUGUUUGUCUGAUUUUAAAUCUUCAAAUAAACCAUUUUGUUUCUGAAUUAAUAAGAACAUUUGUCCUAAUUAAUUUAUCUAAUUCUGAACCAAGAUGUUGUCCCUUGGGUAUUCUAGGAUACGUUGAACCAUGAAUGUUCAGGUUGAUUGUUUUAUCAUAUGUCUAUGUAUUUAUUGUCUCAAUUACAUGCAAUUCUUUCUUUGGGAACUUUGAUAAAUGGCCCAAAGACAUUCAUGCUUGGAAAUGGGAAAAUUUUUAAUGUCUUUCCUCUCUUGUGUGUUUGUCUAGUAGGAUGGAUAUUUUGAAUAUAAAAACUGUUUUUAGAGGUAGUGGAAACGACUUUUAAUUAAACUAAACUCUUCAAAUAUUUUGAAGGAUAUGUGUACAUUUAAGUUUGUUUGCUGAGAAGUCUGUUUGUGUUUAGAAGUCUGCCAGGAUCAAAAGAAGUAAAUACAA